rfam:Roseofilum reptotaenium AO1-A Rreptotaenium_AO1_contig_38_len_109205_cov_434.529, whole genome shotgun sequence.
GAUAGGCUGCGGCGUUGGUGACUGCCAAUAACGUUUUAUGAUCUAUGCUUGACUUAAUAAGGGAACUGAACCGAGAUCCUAGCAGCAGUAAACCGAGCCAGUACUCGGAAACGAAUGCGGGGACUUCAGUACCCACCUGGUAACCCCAGGUCAAAAGCUGAGGCAAGACGGCGUUGCGGUCUAUCU